rnacentral:rRNA from 1 species
CAGUAGCCGCGGUAAUACGGAGGGCGCGAGCGUUACCCGGAUUUACUGGGCGUAAAGGGCGUGUAGGCGGCCUGGGGCGUCCCAUGUGAAAGGCCACAGCUCAACCGUGGAGGAGCGUGGGAUACGCUCAGGCUAGAGGGUGGGAGAGGGUGGUGGAAUUCCCGGAGUAGCGGUGAAAUGCGCAGAUACCGGGAGGAACGCCGAUGGCGAAGGCAGCCACCUGGUCCACUUCUGACGCUGAGGCGCGAAAGCGUGGGGAGCAAACCGGAUUAGAUACCCGCGUAGUCCCUGUCUCUUAUAC